rnacentral:rRNA from 1 species
GGGUGUGAUCAUACCAGCAUUAAUGCACCAGAUCCCAUUAGAACACCUUCGUUAAGCGUGCUUGGGCGAGAGUAGUACUAGGAUGGGUGACCUCCUCGGAAGUCGUCGUGUUCCACCCU